rnacentral:lncRNA from 13 species
CCGCCCCGUGAGACCCGGCGCUUGGCGCAUUGAGGCCCCGCCCGCUCCCGGGCAGGGCGUGGUGAAGGUGCGUCGUCCGUCAGCGUGGUCCGCAUCUAGGCUUUCUGAAGUAUAUUCCAGGGUCGCUCCAGAGACCCCCAGGCUACUAAAUCUGAAUCCGUUCGUGUGGUCCAACCUUCCUCUUCAGGGGAUGUACAGCCUUCUGUGAUAGUAUUCAUAAUAACCAGGAAAGGAGAAGAUACUAUUACUCUCCAUAUCACAGGGGGUGUAAACCCCCCUGUGAAAUCAUUUGUAAUCUUCUGGGGGUGAGUUUAAUAUUACUUUUUAUAUCACGGGGGUAUACACACUAAUGUGAUAUUGUUCAUAAUAUCCAGAAGGGGAGAAAAUGAUAUUAUUCCUCAUAUUGCAGGAGGUGUACAAUCUGCUUCAGUAUUCUUCAUAAUGGCCAAUGGGGGAGAAGAUAAUAUUACUCCCCUAUCGCAAGUUCAUUGGCCAUGGAAGUCAGAAUCUGCUAAGAAGUGUGUAACAACUCACCUGCUGGAUCAACUAGCCCUGAAAAUGGAUGACACUGGAGUGUCGGGCCCAUACCUGGCCAUUGCCGGCAGUCGAGAGUGGAAGGGAGUGGUGGUGUGGGUGCACGAAGACCAUGUAUAUAAGAUGGAAAGAGGUUGACAGAUUUUAAAAUAUGUUUUGGACAUUAAAUCAACACGAUAUGAAGUUGGGUUAGAUGUGAGGAGUAGGAAAAGAAAGGCGUCAAGAAUGACUCAGCCUUCAGGCUUCAGAAACUGGGUAGAGACUAGCAUCUAAGGAAAGGCUGGGGAGUGGCUUGGUUGGGUGAACAUUGGGAGAAGGCUUGGAAAAUUAAGAGUUCUGUUAUGGACAUUUAAAGUUUGAGAUAUCUCUCAGAUAUAGUCAUGGAAAUGUUAAAUGAGCAGUUAUAGAUUGUUCUGGAGCCCAGAGGAUCAGGACUGGAGAUAGAACUCUUGGAGUCUAUGAUGCAUAUUUAUUUUAAAUUGUGGGAUUAAAUGGAAUUUCCUAUGCACGGGGUAGUGUAAGAAAAGGAGUAGCACUGAGUCCUGAACUACUCCAACAGUUUGGGUGGAAGAGGUGGGGCCAGCAAUGGAGAUUGACAAAAAAAUCUGAGAGACAAAAACAAAAAAGAAGAGUGUGGGAAAGAUUAUGUGCUUGACCAAACUUAAAUCCAGUUCCUGAACAUUUUUCUGAAUCCAUCUGUGUAAUUUUAAAAUCCAAUUUUAGCAAAACUGGUCUUAUGUCAGUUUAUUAAGAACCCCUCCACCUUGUCCUCCCUAUCUGUGAUACCUAUCUAAUCCUCCUAUCCUCCAGCAUCCCCCAAAUGGUGGGAUGUCUGAUCACCUUGCCUUGCCUUUAGCAAGAUUUCUAUUAGUUAGGCGUAGCCAGAGUCCCCCUUUCCCCUGUUAGUAAUUUUCUAUCCUGAGACCCUCACCCUGCUCCUUGGCUGUGAGUUCCCGGUUCCCUAUGUUGUGUUUGGAAUUGAGCCCAAUUCUACACCAAGAUCCCUUUCCCCCUAUUGCAAUAAUCCUAAAUAAAAGCUGUUUUUACUGCUUCA